rnacentral:misc_RNA from 1 species
GCAGAAGGAUCAUUAGUGAAAAUUUGGGCAGGGCAUACCGACGCCAAAAAGUGUCCCUGGCCGCCUACACCCACUAUACCUCCCCAAACCCGUGUGCACUGUCUUGGAUAAAGGCUUCAAAGAACUUUUUUGUGUCCUCUCUCGGGGUCUUUCUUCGCUACCCACUCAAAUGGUUAGUAUUAACGAGGAACUUGCUUGGACCGUCACUGGCCAACAAACUAUACACAAAUUUCGACAACCGAUCUCUUGGUUCUCCCA